AGAUGGAGUCUCGCUCCGUCACCCAGGCUGGAGUGCAGUGGUGCGAUCUUGGCUCACUGCAACCUCCUCCUCCCAGGUUCAAGUGAUUCUCCUGUCUCAGCCUCCCAAGCAGCUGGGAUUAAAGGCACCCACCACCACACCCGGCUAUGUUUGUAUUUUUUAGUAGAGACGGGGUUUUACCAUGUUGGCCAGGCUGGUCUCGAACUCCUGGCCUCAAGUGAUCUGCCCGCCUCGGUCUCCCAAAGUGCUGGGAUUACAGGUGUGACCUACCAUACCCGGCCACAAUUUUCAACAUUUAUUCCACGUCCACCAUGUGCCAAGGUUCUGGGAGGCUCGGGCCCUUGACACAACCAUGUCCCUGAAAGAGACGAGCACAGAACCAGGAGGCCCUCAGACAACAGACGCCAGAGCCACCAAGUCCCCCACUAACGGUGCCACCCACUUCCCCUCCUGGCCACGCAGGACGGCCCCAGGGUUGGCCUGUGCUGAUGGUGCCACCUGGUGGUAGACAUGGGAACGCCCUCACCUGAGAUUUCCUCUCCGUGACCCUUCUUCCCCCUCUAGGGGUCCUGGGCUGCCCUGAGGCCACCGCCUAGCAAGAUCAAGAUAGGGCUUGAGCGGCAGUGGGAUAGGGCAGUGGGGGUUCCGGGGGGGUCCGGUGCAGGCAGAACCAAGAGUGUGCCGGCGGAGGGCUGUCGGUACAGGGUGCAGGGCGUGGCGGCUGCAGGACCUCAGCUUGCCUCUUUAAAUCCCUUCCUGGGCACCGCGGUGGCCCGGCCCUUUCCCCUCGUGCUGUUUCUGCUGGAAACGCCGCACAGUCUCCUCGGGGGCAGCCGCCAGCGGAAACGGUUAUUGGCCGCCAGGCAAGCCAGUCCCAUCCUUCCCAGCAACUGGGACUUUCCGGGCAGGGCUCCCCAGCGCGGGUUCAGCUAAUUAAGGAAGCAAUUAGCCUCCCCUGAGGCUAUUCAUGCUUCCUCACCCACAGUUCUCAGGUUCUGUGAGACCAGAGCCUCAGUCUCCCGUGAGCAGAGGGUGUGUGUGUGGCUGCCACUAUUCUGCAGACACGCUGGCUCCACCCCAGAGAGUUGCAGGGCCAGGAAAUCUGCAUUUAAACAGACCCUGGCUCUCACACUUCGGAAACUGCCCGAAGCACCUCUCAAAUAUGGGACAGGUGCUUAGGCCGAAAAUCAGGAAUCUCUUGAAUGAAUGCAUGAAGGUGGAGCCCUUUCCCUUAAUGCGCAGGUGAAAAGGGCACCUCGGUGGAUUCUACUAAAUUUAAUAGAAGACCCAAGACGGGGUGGGGGAGACGUGCUUUGUGCUCACCUGGCUGGUUCAUGGGCAGGUGGCCUGGAGGACCCAGCCCUGGCAGCUGUGGGGUAGCUCCAGCCUGGGCCGGACAGCUUCUUUCAUCGCAGGCACCACUGCGGACAUUGCUGGGAGGAAGAGGAGGGAGAAGCGACGGGCUUCAUUAGGAACGGAAAUGCCAAGAUUAGUGAAAGAAUGAAAAGAGUCAAAACAGCCUAGAAAAGGCUUCAAUGAUCCUCAAACUGGAUGAUCGAAUCCCGAAUAAUUGGGAAUCAACAGUAAAGGCCAAAGCUUUCGAUGGAUUGGACGAGGCGCGUCCACCCUGGGGAGGGCCAUCAUUUUAUUCAGUCUACUGAUGCAAAUGCUUAUCUCUUCUGGAAACACCUUCACAGACAGACCCAGAAUAUAGUUGAACCAAAUACUGGGCACCUCAUGGCUCCAACAGGUUGACACAAAAAAUGAACCAUUGCAGAAAACGAAGAACAGUCACCAACUCCCACCCAUGCAGCUGGCUCAUUUGCUGGGCUGCCCUCCCCAGCAGGUGGCACAGGAAUCCCUGCCUUGGCAGGGAGGAGGCCUGGGGUGUGUGCAGGUACCCAUGGGAAGUUUCUUUGCCAUGGGGAAAGCCAGAGUCACCCCUUGCUUGAACACAAGAGUUGGAGGUUUCAGUGAGCUGAGAUUACGCUAUUGCACUCCAGCCUGGGCGGCAGAGUGAGACUCUGUCUCUAGAUAAAUAAAUUAAAUAAAUAAAUAAAUAUAAUUUAAUAUAAAUAACUAGAAAUUUUUCAAUACUUGCAUCUCUGUAGGUUACCUCUGGAAGUGCAGGGCUUUGUCUUUUUGGAUUAACUCAGAAAUUAGACCUUCAGAAAACAACAUCAGCUCUGAUUCUCUGCACCCUUGAUGCUGCCGGUGGCGACUGCGGCUUCCUGAUGGAAAUGUAGACCUGAACAUAAGUCGCAGAAAAAUGCAGACUUGAGUUGGAGCUAAGCUGACUCAGGUAUUUUGAGAUCUAUAAUCUGAGUGGGGAGCAGAGAGAUUCCAAGAUAUUUGCAUUCAGUGGCUUUUGCACACAGCAGAACCUGUGCUGAGGGCAUUUCUAGGGUCAUUACUCAUAAUCUGCAGUGUCUCUUUCCAGGGUUCCAGGCGUCUUACCCCAGAGGUGAUUUCCAGAUUUCGAGAAAAACCCAGGAUUUAGGGCUGGCACGGUGGCUCACGCCUGUAAUCCCAGCAUUUUGGGAGGCCGAGGCAGGUGGAUCACUUGAGGUCAGGAGUUUGAGACCAGCCUGGCCAACAUGAUGAAACCCUGUCUCUACUAAAAAUACAAAAAAAUUAGCCGGGUGUGGUGGCAUGCACCUGUAAUCCCAGCUACUCAGGAGGCUGAGGCAGGAGAAUCACUUGAACCUGGGAGGCAGAGGUUGCAGUGAGCCUAGAUCGUGCCAUUGCACUCCAGCCUGGGCAACAAGAGCAAAACUCCAUCUCAAAAAAACAAACAAACAAACAAACAAAACGCAAGAUUUAGAUCCCCUCACUGUAGCGCCCUCAUGGCCUGGUAACUUUAGCAAAGCCUCCCCCUCCUCCCCCUCCUCCUCCUCCUCCUCCUCCUCCCUCCUCCCUCUUCUAGGUACAGAGGAUGAGCAGUGGCUCCCCACACCAUCCCCUGAAGCAGAGGCCCCUCUUCCCUUCAUUCCCCAUUCUGUACAGAUGCUAUGGGAGCUUCAGGCUCCACACUCAGGUCCCCAGUCCCUGAAACAUAAAGCUGAAUAAGACAGAGUCCCUGGGCUGAAGGGGCCACUGUUGGCCAUGGAAGCAGAGUAAACAGAGUGGGGCCGACGUAAAGGUGAGCUGGGGUGCACUGGAGGCACAAAACGGGCAAGGAUGGAGACGUGGGUGACGAGGUAGGGCAGACAGGCAGAGCUCAGACUGGGUCCUAGGCAGGGAGAAGUCACCAUUGUAGAGCAAGGACGAUGUGGUCAGAUCUGGGCUUUAGAAAUCUAGGUGUCUAGCCUAGGCAAUAUAAUGAGACCUCGUCUCCACAAAAAACUUAAAAAAUUAGCCGAGUGUGAUGCCACAUGUCUGUAGCCGCAGCUACUCAGAAAGCUGAGGAUCCCAAGUGGAAGGAUAACUCUAGCUCGGGAGGUCGAGGCUGCAGUGAGCCAUGAUCGUGCCAUUGCACUCCAGCCUGGGCAACAGAGCGAGACCCUGUCUCAAGAAAAAAAAAAAAAAAGUAAAAGAAAAAGAAAGAAGAAAUACAGCUCUGGAGCUGCCUAGGACAGGGUUGGGGACUCUCCUGACUAGCUGCCAGCGAAUGUUUGCUUUCUGUGGCCAGGCCCUGCCUGGCCAGGGUGCACAGGGCUGAGCGAGGCAGAUGGAGCCCCUGCUCUCAGACUGCUUUUCCGAAUGCCAUCUUGACGCUGCUCAAGUUUGGAUUUUGGUUUUCAUGGAAGUCAACUAUGGUUCUGACAUGGCCACCUCUGUCUCAACUGAUGCACGGCCUAGGGAAUCCGGUGAUGCUUCAGCAGGUGGCAGGGCUCAGCUGCACCCGCCCGGGCCCCAGCGCCGCCUGCCACUCCUCCUCCUCCUCCCAGGCUUCGGCUGAGAGCAGGGCCUGGAGCCAGCCUGCUGGGUGGACUCCCAGCUCCACAGUUGGCUAGCUCUGGGGCCCUGGGGAGAUGUCCACCCUCUCUGUGCUUUAAUUUCUUCACCUGUGAGGUGGGGAUGGUAGCACCUCCCUCAUGGGGUGGCUAUGGCUGUGAAAUGAGGUAACGUCUCGGUGUUAGGCAGCUUCCAAAACGGCUCUCCAAGAUCCCCUGCCUCCUGGCCUUCAUAGCCUUGUGGAACCCCUGGCCCUGUGUGUGGGCUGGACUCACUGCCUGCUUCCACCCAAGAGAACAGGGCACAGCUGAUGGGGGUUACUUCUGAGACUAGGUGAUCAAGACUGGGGCUUGCUGGGUCCCUCUGUCUCUGACUCUUUCCUCUGCUCUCUCCUGCUCACUUGCUCACCCUAAUACUAUAUCAAG
rnacentral:lncRNA from 10 species